UACGGAGGGUGCAAACGUUGCUCGGAAUUACUGGGCGUAAAGCGUGCGCAGGCGGUUCGUUAUGUCCGUUGUGAAAGCCCCGGGCUCAACCUGGGAAUGGCAAUGGAAACUGGCGAGCUAGAGUGUGGCAGAGGGGGGUGGAAUUCCGCGUGUAGCAGUGAAAUGCGUAGAGAUGCGGAGGAACACCGAUGGCGAAGGCAGCCCCCUGGGCUAGCACUGACGCUCAGGCACGAAAGCGUGGGGAGCAAACAGG
rnacentral:rRNA from 1 species